rnacentral:lncRNA from 1 species
CCCACCUCCCAUGUCAGCCUGCUGAGCGGGCUUGGCCCAGGUUCUUGUGCUUCACAGAGAAGAUUUAUUCCUCAAGACUGACCUACAUGGACGUCUGAAUUGUAAUGGCUGAAUGUUCUAGAUGGCUGUUGGUCCCCGGAAUCAACAGGAAGCGAUGAGCCCUUUGAUAACAGGUGCUUCUGGGAGCAGUCCCUGCUAGCCAGCUUAGCUUCAAAACAGAGCAAUGCUAGAAAAGACAAGGACUGGAGGCUGAGAAAGGUGAGCCAGCGCCAUGAGGAGUGGCUGCCUCUUGAAUCCUGUCAGUCUCCGGCAGAUCCGAUUACAUCUGGGGCCCUUAAGAGUACUUCAAGCAAACGGCGCUGGUCUAUUUUAAUCCUGCUCCUUCUAGAAACCAGAAACUGUAAGGAGAGUCUUCCUGCUGACAGGUGGCUCCAUAAAAGUCGUCCAUCUGCUGCUAAUUAUGGCAGAAAGAAAAUUCACAGAGCCGAGUUUUCAGUUUAUUUGCUAAAGAUCUCCAAAGGUGUAACUGUCUUCCCAGAUCACAAGGCCAUUCACAGCAUUACAUCUAGAGCGCUUGUUAAUUAUUUAAAUAAUUUACAACCCGGGGUGGCAGCGAGCAUUUAA